rnacentral:rRNA from 1 species
AUGUCGGCCGUGUCGUCGCGGACUGGUCGCGCCCCGCCGGCGGCGCCGAUGGCGACGGCUGACCUGGAGGCCGCCAUCGCGGCGCUCCCCGUCAGGAAGCAGCGCCUGCGGGAGACCUUCGACCGCCUCGUCGCCUGCGCGCCGCCCCAUUACCAUCUCCCCUUCACCUGGGACGACAUCGACGCCCAUGUCUCCUCCCUCCACGCCUCCCUCGCCCUCCGCUUCCGCCAGAUGCAGCAGCAGCAGCAGCAGCCACACUCCGGCGUCCCCGUGUCCGCACCCGCGGCCCCCGACGACGAGCAGCCCCACCCCGGCGUCCCCGUGUCCCCCACCGCAACCCCCAUCGGCGAGCAGCCCGACCCUUGCGUCCUCGUGUCCGCAACCCACGGCGAGUCCAUCCAGGAGGACGAGGAGAUGGUUAGGGAGGAGGAAGACGCCUCUCCUGCUCAAGAGGAUGAUAGAGUGGAGGACGCAGGCAUGGGCUUUGCGGGGGCGCCAUGGCGCCAGGCCGGAGGAACUCGUGAUCAAGAGUUUCCUGUUCCGGUGCGGGCUCACUACGCCCGGCACGCCGGCAGCCCUAUACUUCGGCAGCCAUACACGGCGUCCCCGCCUGAUGUGCAUAGCCAGCUGAAUCUUCCCAUGCUCCAGCGACAACAACCAUUCAUGCCGUACCAGCAGCAGGAGUUUCCUGCCAUGGCGGUGGUGGCCAUGAAUAACUACAAUAUUCCUCCCAUGGUCCACCAGCCGUACUACAAUAUUCCUCCGGUGGUCCAGCAGCCGUACUACAAUAUUCCUCCCAUGGUGCAGCAGCCGUACUUCAGGCAAGAAUUCUCCCCUGAUUUCAGGCGAGAAUUCUCCCCUGAUUUCAGGCAAGAAUUCCUCCCUGAUGUGACGAGGCAGCCCCUGAUGGUGCAGCGGCCGUACUCGCCGUACUUCAGGCGAGAAUUCUCCCCUGAUUUCAGGCGAGAAUUCCUCCCUGAUGUGACGAGGCAGCCCCCGACGGGCAUUGACCAUGUGCUCCAGGAGCAGCAGUACAUGGCCAUGGCGCACCAUCAGCCAUACUUCCCACAGCAGCAGUACAUGGCGCGCCACCAGCCCCACUUCCCUGCUGCACAGGCUGCUAGUGCUCAUGGUCAGGGAUCAAACGCUGCUAAGCGUCGACCGCUGAACAGGAGUAUCGAUACGGACAACAUCAAUGUGCGUAUUAGCGAGCCAAGUAAGAAGAGCAGGACUAUCCGCGAGCACGAGCCAUAUCAAAAUAAGACCAUAUAUGAUUAUUUCUGA